GAAUUUUUAGACCAUCCAAAAAAAUUCGGAAUUUACUAUUUAGGGGCAGCAGUUACCAAUUCAUUUUAAAAAAAACUGUUUUGCUUUUCUUUCUCUUGAUCAAGCUUGUCGACCCUAAAAAUGGCAUGAUCUAACCAUAAAACAUCAUAUAUCAUGUAGAUCUAUAGUUCUCAUGUUCAGGAUCAUAAACUUCAUGGUUCAAAAUAACCAAAAAUCAAAUACAAGAUUAAACACAUUCAAGAGUAAGAAAAAUAAGAUUUCCUACACCUUAAAAACCUAGCUUCACUUUUCUUGCUUUUGAUCUAUCUUUUGAAACAUAAAAUAGAU
rnacentral:lncRNA from 1 species